rnacentral:rRNA from 1 species
AUUGAACGCUGGCGGCAUGCUUUACACAUGCGAGUCGAACGGUAACAGGCCUUCGGGUGCUGACGAGUGGCGAACGGGUGAGUAAUGCAUCGGAACGUACCCAGAGGUGGGGGAUAACGCAGCGAAAGCUGUGCUAAUACCGCAUGUGAUCUGAGGAUGAAAGCGGGGGACCGAGCAGCAAUGUUUGGCCUCGCGCCUUUGGAGCGGCCGGUGUCGGAUUAGCUAGUUGGUGGGGUAAAGGCCUACCAAGGCGACGAUCCGUAGCUGGUCUGAGAGGACGAGCGGCCACACUGGAACUGAGACAGGGGCCAGACGCCGACGGGAGGCAGCAGGAGGGGAUCGUGCGCAAUGCGCGGAAGCCUGACCGAGCAAUGCCGCGUGAGUGAUGAAGGGCGUCGGAUCGUGAAACUCUGUUACGGGGGAAGAACAUAUGUCGAAGGAACCGUGCACACCUUGACGGUACCUAAUCAGAAAGCAACGGCUAACUACGUG